rfam:Camelus ferus unplaced genomic scaffold scaffold929, whole genome shotgun sequence.
GAGGGUAUAGCUCAGUGGCAGAGUGCCUGCUUAGCAUACACGAGGUCCUAGGUUCAGUCCCCAGUGCCUCCA